UACAGGGGGGGCAAGCGUUGUUCGGAAUUACUGGGCGUAAAGGGUUUGUAGGUGGCUUGCUAAGUCAGACGUGAAAUCCCUCAGCUUAACUGGGGAACUGCGUCUGAUACUGGCGAGCUUGAGUGCAGGAGAGGAACGCGGAAUUCCAGGUGUAGCGGUGAAAUGCGUAGAUAUCUGGAGGAACACCGGUGGCGAAGGCGGCGUUCUGGACUGCAACUGACACUGAGGAACGAAAGCCAGGGGAGCAAACGGG
rnacentral:rRNA from 1 species